rnacentral:rRNA from 1 species
GAGUUUGAUCGUGGCUCAGAUUGAACGCUGGCGGCAUGCCUUACACAUGCAAGUCGAACGGCAGCACGGGAGCUUGCUCCUGGUGGCGAGUGGCGAACGGGUGAGUAAUGCAUCGGAACGUAUCCUGGAGUGGGGGAUAACGUAGCGAAAGUUACGCUAAUACCGCAUAUUCUGUGAGCAGGAAAGCGGGGGACCUUCGGGCCUCGCGCUCUUGGAGCGGCCGAUGUCGGAUUAGCUAGUUGGUGAGGUAAAGGCUCACCAAGGCGACGAUCCGUAGCAGGUCUGAGAGGAUGACCU